rnacentral:lncRNA from 1 species
CCAGAUCUCUAAUCCAUCAUGACUUUAUGUAGCUACAUUCCUUUGCUGCUUUAUAAACUCCCAAUUUUAAUCAGUUGAGAGAGAUGGAUUUGAGACUGAUCGCCUCUCUCUCUAGCUGAUGUCACCUGAAUAAAAAGCCUUCUUCCCUGGCAAUACUCAUUGUUUCAGUGAUUGGCUUUCUGUGCAGGAAGCAACAGGGUCCUCCCCUGGUACUUCAGUAACAGAUUUUGGUUUCCUGACUGGGAAUGUGUUGCUCACAGUUCACUGGCCACAGGCCAGAAGAGUUUCAGAAGACCUCCUAGGCAGCUGCCUGUCUUUGUUUUUUUGGCCAAAGUCCACUGGAUGCUUCAGGUCUCCAGCCCAGCCCCAGGAGAGAAGUCAGUGACCCAGACCUAAGUCAACCAGUGCACAGCAUUUCCCCACAUCAGAGUCAAGAUGAAGAAGUGGGCAUGACCUAAAUCAGUUCAACCAGAAUUAAUCCCACAAGUUUUAUAGGAUCACCUGGAAAAGAGGCAGAGAGUAGUAAGUCUGUAAGGCUAGAACAGCUAUAGCAAUGCUACUGACCAUGGGGAAUUUAAUCCAGAUGAAGCAGAAAUGAGAGAUGGAGAGAAGAGAGUCCUGGUGAUCCCAUCUGAGCCCCUCCAUCAAACAUCCCUACUUGUAUUUUUCACUUUCAACUGCCAUUAAAUACUCCUUUUGCUAAGCCCAUUUUGGUUGGUUUUCUGUUACUAACCACUAAAAUUACUGGCUAUAAUGAUUUCAGAUAAGUCAGAUGUUACUAUAUGGAAAUCAAUAUUUAUCAAGCCAAUAUAAGCGUGUAUCAAUUAAUACUUCUAUCCCCAGAUUCUAUUUUCCUCUUAUACUAAACUUCAGGAAUUAUGAAUUCUUCCUGAACGUAAGACUACUAUUUUUUGUAGCUGUAACCUAAAGCACAUUGGACUAUUCCUUCUUGUCUUCUUAUAACCCCAAAAUAGGAAUUAUAAUUUCUUACUGAAAUUUCCCUAAAUUUUUUCUCACCAAAAUUUAGUUAAUUUUUCCCUAAAAUUUCUUUACUAUAUUUCACUGAAAUCUACUAUGUAGUAUUUUCUCUAGAUGAAAACUUUCCCUGAAAAUUGCAAGAAGUGAAAACAUUGGCUUUGAAAUGAUAGAUAAUUCAUAAACUAUUCUUAAGGAUUAUUCUCAGGAAUAAUUAUUUUGUCUGGCCUACAUAACCCUAAAUAGUGGUAAAAUAUACAGUAGUUUAAAACAUGGUUAGGGGCCCAAUCUAGAACAAAGAAAAACUGCCUGUGAGUAAAACAGUCAAACAUGUUUUAGACAUGUCUCGCAUCCACCAGUGUGAGUCGAGUGCAAAGGGUUACUGUAAACUGACCAGGUAUUAGCAGGUCAUCUUCAAACCCACAUCAACCCACCUCACCUCAGAGCCAGUUCUAGGACCCUCCACGGGUCAGCCUAAUUUCCCUUGGCCCAGCCCAAGCUGGCUCUUUCUCUUUGCACAGCAAUGCUCACACACCCUGGCCAAAAAAGCUUUCGAAGUAUUUCUUUUUGAAUGAGCAUAAAGUGCCUAUUGAGACCAAGAAAGCCUCCUUAUUGUGGGGUUGACCUUACCACUGUGUCCACAUUCCCCAGAGGUAUGGACAGUAGCUACAGCUGAGGAAAUGUCAUUCAGCAGUUUUUUGCGUAUGAAAUUUGAGAAAUUUGCAUGAUACAUGUGGAGCCAAUUGUUCAUAUCUAAGCAUAUUAGCUGUUUUUCUCCUGAGAACACAAAAAAGUUAUUGAGAGUGAAAAGAAGUCCCAUUGGAGGAGGGGAAACCUGAGGGGCCUCCCUGAGUACUAUUCACUGCAGGCCUCAUUUCAUUCCCAAUGACUUCUGUGGAAGCCAAUUUAAAGAAGGUCACAGGUAUUUACCUUUCUUCCCUGUCUGUUUCAAUCUGUUUUAUAGAGAAGGAGUGAAAAUGCCAAUGCCAAUGCUCAUUCUUGAGCCCUUGGUGCAUUCGUUCUGCAGAUUUUUUUAAUACAAGGGUAGACUUUUAAAACAACAAAAGAAAAUGUCAUUGGAAUAGACUUAAGCUUUACUUUGACUUAAGAUAGAUUUCAUUCCUUGGCUUAGACUGGAUUACAUUCACCUAGUCCUGUCAUUUCUUACUAAGGGAGGAGACCACCCCUCAUAGUGUAUUAUGCCCAAUUUCUGCCUCCAAAGAAAGAAGUAAAAACUAAAAGGCAGAAAUGAAAUCCACAAGCAGACAGCCCGGCACCACACCCUGGGCCUGGUAGUUAAAGAUCCACCCCUGACCUAAUCGGUUAUGUUAUCUAUAGAUUAUAGACAUUGUAUAGAAAAGCACUGUAAAAAUCCCUGUCCUGUUCUGUUCCGUUCUAGUUACCAGUGCAUGCAGCCCCCAGUCACGUACCCCCUGCUUGCUCAAUCGAUCACAACCCUCUCACACAGACCCCCUUAGAGUUGUGAGCCCUUAAAAGGGACAAGAAUUGCUCACUCAGGGAGCUCGGUUGUUGGAGACAUGAGUCUUGCCGAAGCUCCUGGCUGAAUAAAGCCCUUCCUUCU